rnacentral:rRNA from 1 species
GAUGAACGCUGGCGGCGUGCUUAACACAUGCAAGUCGAACGGAAAGGCCCUGCUUUUGUGGGGUGCUCGAGUGGCGAACGGGUGAGUAACACGUGUGUAACCUGCCCUUGACUUUGGGAGAACUUCAGGAAACUGGGGCUAAUACCGGAUAGGAGCUCCUGCUGCGUGGUGGGGAUUGGAAAGUUUCGGCGGUUGGGGAUGGUCUCGCGGCUUAUCAGCUUGUUGGUGGGGUAGUGGCUUACCAAGGCUUUGACGGGUAGCCGGCCUGAGAGGGUGACCGGCGACAUUAGUACUGAGAGACGGCCCAGUCUCCUACGGGAGGCAGCAGUCGGGAAUAUUGCACAAUGGGCGGAAGCCUGAGACAGAGACGCCGCGGUCGGGAUGACGUCCUUCGGGGUGAGAACCGCUGUCGCCUGAGACGAAGCGUGAGUGACGGUAAUGAGUAAAGAAGCACCGGCUAACUACGUG